GAACAUUAGAUUUGGACUCAGGGAUUAUGGACUCAAACCUUGCCGUUUGUCCUUAAAUGUUUCUGUGAAUCAACACAUAUCACUUAAGCUUCCAGAGAAUAACCACCAUCUUCCAUGCUUGGCCAAAUAUACUCUAACAUGGCCUCUUUUUUAUAGGUCUCCUAUCUUAAGGUGUUAUUAUGGGUUAGAUCAUGUCCCUUCCAAAGAUAUGUCCACAUCCUAACCCCGAGUACCUCAGAAUGUGACCUUACUUGGAAAUAGGGUCACAGCAAAUGUCAUUAGUUAUGAUAAAGUCAGAUGGGAGUAGGGUGGCCUUCAAUCUAACGUGACUAGUGUUCUUAUAAGAACAGGAGACAGACACACAGAGGGAAGACAGCCCUGGACCAAUGGAGGUAGAGAUUGAGGUGCUGCAGGUGUAAGCCCAGGAAUGUCAAAGAUCGUCAGCAGCAACCACCAGAAACUAGGAAGAAGUGAGGAGGGAUCCUUCUCUACAGGUUUCAGAAAGAAUGUGACCCUGCUCAUAUCUUGAAUUUGGACUUCUGGGCCCCAGAACUAAAAUUCUGUUAGGCCACUGUAGUUUAUGGUAUAUUGUUAUAGCAGUUGUAGGAAACAAUAAGUGUUAUGGUGGUUUUGUAUUUACUCGUUUCCUUGAGUAUGACUGUUUUACUCAUCAACUAAAUUGUAUGUUCUUAGACCAGAAGGAUGAUUUUUUUUUUGUCUAAAGACUCUCUUAGUCCUUUGCAUAUGGUAACAUAUCUUUUCAGUAGGAUUGUCUGAACUUUGUCAAAGACACAGGUCAUUCAAUGCGGAGUACACACAGUUAAUGAUAUCUGGAUUUUAUAUGUCUGCUGUCCUCAAGAAUACAGAAAUUUACAUACAUAGAGGCCGGUGCCAGGUGGGUUUCAUUUUUUUCUAAAUCUGGAACCAAAAGCAGCAGGUCAAUGGGGUAGGCAGAGUUCUUGGUUCAGCUCUUUGGCUGGACACUGGAGUGGAUCACAAAACUGUCUUUUCUGGAAUUCUGUGGAAUAGGGGAGAGGCUCAGUGACCUGGAGUGAUUUUUCUCGGGCUCAAGCCUGAAGGCAACACAAGGUCCUAGAUGGGCCUCAUCCACCAUUGAAUUCUCUGCUUCUCAAAAAGGAAUUUUAGGCAGUUAUAUUUCAUAGUGGCCUGGCCCUUUCUAAACACUGCAGUCUAUAUUUAUGGCUCAGGACUAAUGAAGCAGUAUUAAAAGAUCAACACUGAGAGGGCCAAUCCUUGGCAUUGUGACAAUGACUUACUUAUGUGCUUCUGUAGGCCUGGAAGUCUCUCUAAGGAAAGGGUAAGGGUAAGGGCAAGAGUGUUCAUCCUUGGGUUCAUUCAUGGGGUCUACAAUAAUUUCUGGUACACAUAGUCCCCUGGAUGAAUACAGAUAGCCCAGGGUCACUUUAUGGAUGAAGCAAUGGAAACUCAGAGAGGAUAAGUGGUAAAAAUGGAGCCCAAGACUCCAUGGAUUGGUUCAGAGAUUGCCCAGCACUUGACCACCCUGGAUAUCUAAGUAUCUAAUACAGUGUCCCACGACACUGGCUCCUUUUUAAUGCCAGGUUGGAUCAUUUGAAAGUGGCGAAAUGAGUUUCUUUUUAAAUGGAGGAUUUUCCUCUUUGCAAAUUCUAGUUAUUGGACUUUGAGCCUAAUCCAUCAUUCUACAAUGCUGGAGAGAAGCAUUAAGAUGGCAACCAAAUCGAUAUGUUUUAAGAUUUCCUGGGUCAUCAAAAUGCUUCAUCUUGGUACAUAUUCUUUGGGGCAUUGAUUUUUAAGACACAUUUUAUCCCUACUUGCAAAUUCCACAGCAGACUUUGUCGGAAGAUAUAUUUUUUUGGCCUUAAUUAGAAUGUAAAUGUGUUAUGCUCGAGUGCCAACCCCUCUGGACAGCAAGGUGUGAAUGAUAAUUGUGUUUCUCCACUGAAAUGCUAGGAGAGAGGUCCUCAAAGAGAUAGAAAACUAUUCUCACAGGUAGGAGGCUAAAUAUCUUCCAGGUAUGAUGGACUUCCUAAAUAGAGCUUCAAUAAAUGGAGCUUGUUAUUAUUUUUUUUGGAGCUUGUUAUUUAAAUGCUAAUGAAACCUUUCCCCCCAAAAAUGACCCUGUCCCUUACAUAAGAUUUGAGGGUUCUUAUUUAAAAAAAUUCUUCAAGGUUCUCAUUUUUAUUCUUUAUGUUUCUUGCAACUACAACUAUGGAUCAGAUUUACUCCUGGCAUGGAUGCUUGGGCAGGGGUGGAGGGUGGGUAUCAGUUUGAUCUUCCCACUUCAAGGAUCACAAUUUCUUCAAAUAUCCAACUGCUCCCCUGUGUUUCCUCCCACUGACUUGCCCACCCACAGUGGGGCAAAGCUGUAACCCCUUUCUCACUGAGAUCACCCCAAUGUGGAAAAUUUCAUGGUCACGUUGUGCAUAUCAGCCUCUAUUCAAAGCCAGAACUCUUUUCAAGUUAAUUUUGUUCAUUAUCCUUUUUUUUAGAUGAGGACAGUUUUACCAGUGGCCUGAUAAUGUUAGAAAUAUAGGUCAUGAUAUUACUUUCCUUGAACCACAUCCUGCAAUUCUGUUCUGCUCUAAGCAAGCAUCCUAGAGGCAAAAUUAUCUCGGUGCUGUGGCCUUAGCUUCACGUGGUGAUGAUGCUGUGGGGCCUGAACAUUCCCAUCACAUAAGGAGCAUACAUUUAUCAAGGGCUCAUUGUACACAGGACACUCCUCGCCUCCAUCAGAGACUGAUGCAUGUAUUUGAGUAGAUUUGCCUAAUGUUUGUAAACAACUGUUGGAUGAAGUUCAUCACAAAUGAAAGAAGCUGCGUUCUGGAAGCUGUGGUUGCUUCAGUGUGAUGUGAUCAUCAGGCUGAACCCUGGUGGAGCAUCCCAACAUUCUCAGGAUGAAGCACAAACUCAUGAGGCUGGCCCAGGAGGUUGGCCAGCUCUUUCUCUGGCUCUCCCCCUCCCCCUUUCCCUGUCACCCACUGCAUUCUGUGAUGCUUCUGCCUCAACAGGCCUUAGGAGGUUUUCCUUCCUCUUUACUCGGCCUGGCAGGCCAGCUCCUGACCACAACUCAGGUUUUCUCCUCAAUGGUGGUCUCCCCAGACUGGCAUCUGAAGGGUCCCUCCCAUCAUCCCUCUCAGACCCCUGACUCACCAUCUCAUCACUGUGUCCUAUUUUUCCCUAGUUCUUUUAGAUAAAGAAAAAUGCUUGAGUUCUUUGUUUGCUGUAUGAUUCCUGCACUAAGAUGAAAUGAAAGUCUUUUUGCAUCUUAGGAUGUACCCCCAUCACUGGGCCAUAUGUAAAGCAAAAUCUUAGUAAAUAUUUCUGAGUCUGAAAGCACGAAUCCUUAAAUUUCCCCAGUUAUGCUUCCAGUAUUCCAGGUGUGAGAGACAUGGACCUGCUGCUCCCACUUGCCUCUUGCUGGUUCUAGUUUAUGCUUGUGAUGGACAUUCACAUCUCUGCUGAUAUUCUGAAUGUCAUUGAAUCAAUGCUUCCAUGAGUCGGGGGGUGAUCAUGCAGUUGGGAGGUUCCCAGGGCUUUGGUCUAACUAUUCCCUCUCCCCUAUUUAAGGCUGGCCUCUUUGCAUCUCUCUGCCAGUUGAACAUUGAAAAGGAGGUAGGAAUGCUUGCUUGUUUUACUUGGCAGAAAAAAGUUAUGUGCUGUGAGUGUGGCAAGGUUGAGAGGUCCUGUCCCACUGCACUAAAGGGCAGGGACAUAAAACCUAACAACUGGGGAAGUAUUUGUCAGUGAGGGCUCCAGACAAUCAGCAUCAGAAUUCCCCACAAUGCUUGUUUACAAUGCAGGUUCCUGGGGCUCUUCCCUAGGCCAAGUGAAUCAGAACCUCUGGGGAUGGAGCCCUGGAUGGGUGUUUUGAACAGACAUCCUGAGUGAUCCUGAUGCACAUGAAAGUCUGCGAACUACUACCUGGAUAUCUGUCCUCUGCCUCUUUCUUAUUUUCCUGCUAAUGUUUCCAUGUUUCCUGGUGAUGGGAGGAACUCUGAGGUCAAGGAUCCAUCCAUUUCAGUCCCCCUGGGUCUACAGUCUUUCCUUCACUGAAUAGCAAUCAGUGGCUUAGAAACCCAUCAAUACAGUGUCCUGAAGUAUCCAGAAGCUCAACCAGGCAGAUGAUGAUGGGGAAACCAGUAGCUAGAGAGAAUAUCAAGGACCAUGAAGCAGUUUCUAAGAGCAAGGCUCUUGCUCCAACACCCUUGUGAAAAGUUAACUCUCACUCAUGGCUCGUUUGUAUCUUCAGUGUAUGCUAAUGUCAUCAAGGAAGGAAGGGGUUGAGGUUACACAAAAGCGAGAAUAAAAGAUUUCUU